rnacentral:rRNA from 1 species
UACGUAGGGUGCGAGCGUUAAUCGGAAUUACUGGGCGUAAAGUGUGCGCAGGCGGCAGAGCAAGUCGAGUGUGAAAGCCCCGGGCUUAACUUGGGAAUUGCGCUCGAAACUACUUGCUGGAGUGUGGCAGAGGAAGGUGGAAUUCCACGUGUAGCGGUGAAAUGCGUAGAGAUGUGGAGGAACACCAAUGGCGAAGGCAGCCUUCUGG